CUCCGCUAAACUGUGAAAAAUGACGGAACUGACGCGGAUGCACACAACGGUCGUGUGCAUGAGGCCUUAACCUAAUUGUUUGGGGUAGGGCAUUCCAGAGAACUGGUGCAGCUUGAGAGAAGUUUUGGAGACCGAGAGGUCAAGGGUCAACUCGAGGUAAUGCCGUUAUGGUGGACUCGUGGAAACUGAAUUAUCGGUCAAUCAGAUACUGAAAUAUGCAUUAACCUCCGUCCUAUGAACCAGCAUCCAUUUCCCAUCAUCUCCUUGUUUGUAGAAUUCUAAAAAUGGAUCUGACUUGCCGAAAAAAUCCUGAAGAGAAAGAAGAAAAA